CCUGCCUGAAUGAUGGCAGAGAGGUCACACCCGUUCCCAUACCGAACACGGAAGUUAAGCUCUCUAGCGCCGAUGGUAGUUGGGACCUUGUCCCUGUGAGAGUAGGACGUUGCCAGGC
rnacentral:rRNA from 1 species